CCUACGGGUGGCAGCAGUGAGGAAUAUUGGUCAAUGGGCGCUAGCCUGAACCAGCCAAGUAGCGUGAAGGAUGACUGCCCUAUGGGUUGUAAACUUCUUUUAUAUAGGAAUAAAGUGCAGCAUGUGUACUUUUUUGUAUGUACCUUAUGAAUAAGGAUCGGCUAACUCCGUGCCAGCAGCCGCGGUCAUACGGAGGAUCCGAGCGUUAUCCGGAUUUAUUGGGUUUAAAGGGAGCGUAGAUGGGUUGUUAAGUCAGUUGUGAAAGUUUGCGGCUCAACCGUAAAAUUGCAAUUGAUACUGGCAGCCUUGAGUACAGUUGAGGGAGGCGGAAUUCGUGGUGUAGCGGUGAAAUGCUUAGAUAUCACGAAGAACUCCGAUUGCGAAGGCAGCCUGCUAAACUGUCACUGACACUGAUGCUCGAAAGUGUGGGUAUCAAACAGGAUUAGAUACCCGAGUAGUC
rnacentral:rRNA from 1 species